GACGAACGCUGGCGGCGUGCUUAACACAUGCAAGUCGAACGGAAAGGCCCUGCUUUUGUGGGGUGCUCGAGUGGCGAACGGGUGAGUAACACGUGAGUAACCUGCCCUUGACUUUGGGAUAACUUCAGGAAACUGGGGCUAAUACCGGAUAGGAGCUCCUGCUGCAUGGUGGGGGUUGGAAAGUUUCGGCGGUUGGGGAUGGACUCGCGGCUUAUCAGCUUGUUGGUGGGGUAGUGGCUUACCAAGGCUUUGACGGGUAGCCGGCCUGAGCGGGUGACCGGCCACCUUGGGACGGGGAUACGGCCCCGGCUCCUACGGGAGGCAGCAGUGGGGAAUAUUGCACAAUGGGCGGAAGCCUGAUGCAGCAACGCCGCGUGCGGGAUGACGGCCUUCGGGUUGUAGACCGCUUUCGCCUGUGGCGAAGCGUGAGUGACGGUAAUGGGUAGAGAAGCACCGGCUAACUACGUG
rnacentral:rRNA from 1 species